ACAAUGGAGAGUUUGAUCCUGGCUCAGGAUGAACGCUAGCGGCAGGCCUAAUACAUGCAAGUCGAGGGGUAGAGGAGAGCUUGCUUUCCUUGAGACCGGCGCACGGGUGCGUAACGCGUAUGCAACCUACCCUUUUCUGGGGGAUAGCCCGAAGAAAUUCGGAUUAAUACCGCAUAAGACCACGACACGGCAUCGUGACGGGGUCAAACAUUUAUGGGAGAAGGAUGGGCAUGCGUGCCAUUAGCUAGUUGGCGGGGUAACGGCCCACCAAGGCUACGAUGGCUAGGGGAUCUGAGAGGAUGGCCCCCCACACUGGUACUGAGACACGGACCAGACUCCUACGGGAGGCAGCAGUAAGGAAUAUUGGUCAAUGGGCGCAAGCCUGAACCAGCCAUGCCGCGUGCAGGAAGACGGCCCUCCGGGUUGUAAACUGCUUUUGUACGGGAAUAAACCUUUCUUCGUGAAGAAAGCUGAAUGUACCGUAAGAAUAAGGAUCGGCUAACUCCGUGCCAGCAGCCGCGGUAAUACGGAGGAUCCAAGCGUUAUCCGGAUUUAUUGGGUUUAAAGGGUGCGUAGGCGGCCUGUUAAGUCAGGGGUGAAAGACGGUGGCUCAACCAUCGCAGUGCCCUUGAUACUGAUGGGCUUGAAUGGACUAGAGGUAGGCGGAAUGUGACAAGUAGCGGUGAAAUGCAUAGAUAUGUCACAGAACACCGAUUGCGAAGGCAGCUUACUAUGGUCCUAUUGACGCUGAGGCACGAAAGCGUGGGGAUCGAACAGGAUUAGAUACCCUGGUAGUCCACGCCCUAAACGA
rnacentral:rRNA from 1 species